CACCGGAGAUUCAAGGAUUUCUCAAUCAUGGAUGAAAGCAUCAAGGAACUUUUCUACAGCUUUCUUUACCAGAAGGCAUGAUUCCUGCAGAAAAAAUCAGAUAUACACCAUAAUCCAUCAAUGGCAGGUCGCCUCGGCCCCCCCACCAAGGGAGGAAAGGAGAGGCAGAGGGAGAAGUGUGAUCGGACGCAGAACAGAUGGACAAUGUUUCAUUUGACAUUGUCCUUCGGCAAAUGAAAACUUUAAGGUUGAAAUUUUCCAAUCAGGAUUUUUGUUUAAGAUUAUUUUGAAACAAGUUCUUUGAUAUAGAUGUGUGUAUUUAGUGGAAUAUUUUCAGGAAAGAUAGUUUUAUUCCCACCUUGAAAAUGAAUUUUAUUCAUUGUGAGGGAACAAGAAUGCCCAAGAAGAGAUUUAGAUUGCUUCUUCUUUCGGUGAAAGCUCUCAUCGGUGCCUGCUGUAGAUUAGAUUCCUGAAUGUGGAGAGGUAGAUGCUAUAGAGAAAAUGUGGAUUUAAUUUUUUAAAAAUCUGUGACUUCACUUACCUUAAAACUAUUUCACUGCUGUAUGGUUCUUAUAACUUUUUCUUUUACCAAAUCAAAACUCUCUGUUGAUUUGCCUGUAUGUCUUUUGCAUAAAGUUAAAUCUCAAUAUAGAAAGCUUUAGCAACCUUUCUGCUAGAUUCUACUUGACAUUUUUGUGGCUUCAGCAGAGCUGACUCAGUAAUGGCUCUUUGUUAGAAUGCCUUUUUACUGUGAAAUGAAAAGUGCUCUUAAGAUGGUCAAGGGUGUAUUUUCCAGUUCUUUGAGGCCCCGUAGCCCUAGGGCGUCCCUUGAAGCAACUCCCCGUCUGAGUCACAGGAGCCAGUACAUCUGAAGGAUAGCGGGCCAGGUGACAUCAUGGUGUUUCUGUGUUCUCUGAAGCAAAAUGUCACAUUGACAAACUUUUCUGAAACUUCCUAACA